CCCCUAGACGUUCUGGGCUGCACGCGCGCUACAAUAAUACGCACAGCGAGUAUCACCGAGCUCGAAAGGGCAAGGUAAACAAUAGAAAAGGUACUGUAAUGGUUAUAGAUCCUUGUAAUUAUUGAUCUUCAACGAGGAAUUCCUAGUAAGUAUGUGUCAUCAUCACGCACUGAUUACGUCCCUGCCCUUUGUACACACCGCCCGUCGCUCCUACCGAUUGGAUAUUCCGGUGAAAUUUUCGGAUUUGUGGGAGGUUAACUUCAACUGGCUUUGUCGGUUGAGACUCUCUGAAAAAGUUAAUUAAAUCUUAGUAUCUAGAGGAAGGAGAAGUCGUAACA
rnacentral:rRNA from 1 species